rnacentral:rRNA from 1 species
UACGGAGGGUGCAAGCGUUAUCCGGAUUCACUGGGUUUAAAGGGAGCGCAGGCGGACUUGUAAGUCAGUGGUGAAAUACCUGAGCUUAACUCGGGAACUGCCAUUGAUACUAUAGGUCUUGAAUGUUGUUGAGGUUUGCGGAAUAUGUCAUGUAGCGGUGAAAUGCUUAGAUAUGACAUAGAACACCAAUUGCGAAGGCAGCUCACUACACAAUCAUUGACUCUGAGGCACGAAAGCGUGGGGAUCAAACAGG